rnacentral:rRNA from 1 species
CUCCACGAAAGAAGGGAUGAUUCCCUCAUUUUAGAACUACACUUCCAAAGACUAACAAAUUAAUUUUAAGUGAUCCGAUACCCGUAUUCGAUCAACGAACCAAGUUACCCUGGGGAUAACAGCGCAAUCUACCUCAAGAGCCCCUAUCGACAGGUGGGUUUACGACCUCGAUGUUGGAUCAGGGUAUCCCAGUGGUGCAGCAGCUACCAAAGGUUCGUUUGUUCAACGAUUAAAACCC